GGGCGCCCCCGGUCGUCGGUCGUCGGCCAGUCGGUCGGUCGGCCAGUCGGUCGGUCGGGCAGUUGGUCGGGACGCCAGUCGGUCGGUCGGUCGGCGGGUAUCCCCCAACAGUUGCCCCCCUCCACUCCUAAGUCGUACGGUGAGCUGGCGACUAGGAGUGGAUUCGUCAUAUGCGAAGAUCCGACCGUACCGCCGGUUGAUACGGUGUCAGGCGCCUCAUAAAUGUCG
rnacentral:lncRNA from 1 species